rnacentral:rRNA from 1 species
GACGAACGCUGGCGGCGUGCUUAACACAUGCAAGUCGAGCGGUAAGGCCCUUUCGGGGGUACACGAGCGGCGAACGGGUGAGUAACACGUGGGUAACCUGCCCCGAUUACCGGGACAACCCGAGGAAACUCGGGCUAAUACCGGAUGUGCUCGUCAGACCCAAGUCUGACGCGUAAAGGAAGCUUCGGCCUCCGAUUCGGGAGGGGCCCGCGGCCCAUUAGUUAGUUGGUGAGGUAACGGCUCACCAAGACCGCGAGGGUAGCUGGUCUGAGAGGACGAUCAGCCACACUGGGACUGAGACACGGCCCAGACUCCUACGGGAGGCAGCAGUGGGGAAUCUUGCGCAAUGCGCGAAAGCGUGACGCAGCAACGCCGCGUGAGGGAAGACGGCCU